AUAGUUUCGCCAUUGCAGUGCAUUCCUCGUGGUCAUUAACGGAAGUUCCCCUCCUGUUGUUUUGGAAGCUACUCCCGCAAUUUGCUUUCAGGAACGAGCUGCAAUUUAUCGCAACUUAACAGAUAGAGGUGUUUUUCGAAUGGCUACUGGUACAGUCAAGUGGUUCAACGACGCGAAGGGCUUUGGCUUCAUCACCCCGAGCGACGGCGGCAAGGAUGUGUUCGUGCAUCACAGCGCGAUCGUCGGAACGGGCUUCAAGUCCCUGGCCGAAGGUCAGAAGGUGACGUUUAACAUCGAGCAGGGUCCGAAGGGCCCGUCGGCAGCGAACGUUCAGCCGGCCUAAGGUUCAGACACUGCGUUAGCAGAUUUGAACAGAAGACCCCGCCACCGCGCGGGGUCUUUUUU
rfam:Thiotrichales bacterium SG8_50 WOR_8-12_31894, whole genome shotgun sequence.